UACGUAGGGGGCUAGCGUUGUCCGGAAUCAUUGGGCGUAAAGCGCGUGUAGGCGGCUCGAUAAGUCUGCUGUGAAAGUCCAGGGCUCAACCCUGGGAUGCCGGUGGAUACUGUCGAGCUCGAGUCCGGAAGAGGCGAGUGGAAUUCCUGGUGUAGCGGUGAAAUGCGCAGAUAUCGGGAGGAACACCUAUGGCGAAGGCAGCUCGCUGGGACGUUACUGACGCUGAGACGCGAAAGCGUGGGGAGCAAACAGG
rnacentral:rRNA from 1 species